AUUGAACGCUGGCGGCAGGCCUAACACAUGCAAGUCGAACGAGUGGCGGACGGGUGAGUAAUGUCUGGGAAACUGCCUGAUGGAGGGGGAUAAAUACUGGAAACGGUAGCUAAUAACGCAUACCAUCGGAUGAGCCCAGAUGGGAUUAGCUAGUAGGUGGGGGAAAGGCUCACUGAGGCGACGAUCCCUAGCUGGUCUGAGAGGAUGACCGUCACCACUGGAACUGGGACCCGGUCAGACUUCCUCCGGAGGGCAGAAGUGGGAAUUAUUCCACAAUGGGCGCAGUCCGGCUGCAGCCCUGCCGCGUGUAUUAAACGGGCCUUCGGGUUGAAAACUACUUUCAGCGGGGAGGCGUUACCCGAAGAGGAAGCAACGGCUAACUCCGUGCCAGCAGCCGCGGUAAUAC
rnacentral:rRNA from 1 species